rnacentral:rRNA from 1 species
CUGCUGCCUCCCGUAGGAGUCUGGUCCGUGUCUCAGUACCAGUGUGGGGGACCUUCCUCUCAGAACCCCUACGCAUCGUCGCCUUGGUGGGCCGUUACCCCGCCAACAAGCUAAUGCGACGCAUGACCAUCCGUAGCCGGAAUCGCUUCCUUUAAACCCACAGAGAUACCUCCAUGGGUUGUUACGCGGUAUUAGACGGAAUUUCUUCCGCUUAUCCCCCUGCUACGGGCAGGUUUCAUACGUGUUACUCACCCGUGCGCCGGUCGCCGGCGGG